CAGGCACCUGGUAGAUGUCAGACGUCUGUAUCUGCACUGUCCUCUGUUCUCCAUUGUGAGGUGUUUGUGAAACGUGAAUUGUCAGAAGUGUUUGUGCUAACAGAAGGUAUGAAGAUCACCCUUUUUGGAAAAUCCCCCAAACCAGUCAGCUGGAUUGCAUGACAACAUCAUUUGAAUCAGAUUAUAAAACAUCUGUGUUGCAGGGAGUGCUGCAAUUGAGGCCAAUGACUUAACCUCCUUGGCAAAGAAAAUGCACAU